GAGCUGUCGCCGCCUCCUUCCCCUCUCUCUUCAUUCUCUCCUUCUCCUUUAAGUUUAGGGUUUAAUUUAUUUUUAAAAAAAACAAUUUUGUUAUUAGUUUAAUUGUAAUUAGUUUAUUUGAUUUUGUUAGUUAUUUAAUUGUAAUUAGUUUAUUGAUUUUGUUGUGUAUUGAUUGUUAGUUUGAAUAAGGGAUUAUUAGUUAGUGAGUGAAGUGAAAUUUUUUAAUGUUAGGGUUAGUUUGAAUUAGGGUAUCCUAGCUAGGAUUUGUUUGAAUUUGGGUAUUUCUUGAGUUAAUAAGUUUGAUUUUGAGAUUUUAUGACUAGUUUGAAUUAGGGCAUUUAAGGAGUUGUUUGAAUUUGGAUAUUAUUUGAGUUAGUUUGAUUUUCGAAUUUUAGGACUUGCUAUUUUGAAUUUGGGAUUUUAGGGCUAGUUUGAAUGA
rnacentral:lncRNA from 1 species